rnacentral:rRNA from 1 species
GACGUAGGGCGCGAGCGUUGUCCGGAUUUAUUGGGCGUAAAGAGCUCGUAGGCGGUCUGUUGCGUCCGCUGUGAAAACUCGGGGCUUAACCCCGAGCCUGCAGUGGAUACGGGCAGACUAGAGGUAGGUAGAGGAGAAUGGAAUUCCCGGUGUAGCGGUGAAAUGCGCAGAUAUCGGGAGGAACACCGGUGGCGAAGGCGGUUCUCUGGGCCUUACCUGACGCUGAGGAGCGAAAAGCGUGGGGAGCGAACAGG